rnacentral:rRNA from 1 species
CCUACGGGUGGCAGCAGUGGGGAAUAUUGCACAAUGGGGGAAACCCUGAUGCAGCGACGCCGCGUGAGGGAGGAAGUUUUUCGGUAUGUAAAGCUCUAUCAGCAGGGAAGAAAAUUACGGUUCCUGACUAAGAAGCCCCGGCCAACUACGGGCCAGCAGCCGCGGUAAUACGUAGGGGGCCAGCGGUAUCCGGAUUUACUGGGUGUAAAGGGGACGUAGACGGGUAAUCAAGUCAGAAGUGAAAACCCAGGGCUCAACCUUGGGAGUGCUUUUGAAACUGGGUAGCUAGAGUGCAGGAGAGGUAAGCGGAAUGCCUAGUGUAGCGGUGAAAUGCGUAGAUAUUAGGAGGAACACCGGUGGCGAAGGCGGCUUACUGGACUGUAACUGACGUUGAGGCUCGAAAGCGUGGGGAGCAAACAGGAUUAGAUACCCCUGUAGUC